UACGGAGGGUGCAAGCGUUAUCCGGAUUCACUGGGUUUAAAGGGUGCGUAGGUGGGAAUGUAAGUCAGUGGUGAAAUCUCCGUGCUUAACAUGGAAACUGCCAUUGAUACUAUGUUUCUUGAAUCUUCCGGAGGUCAGCGGAAUAUGUCAUGUAGCGGUGAAAUGCUUAGAUAUGACAUAGAACACCAAUUGCGAAGGCAGCUGACUACAAGAGCAUUGACACUGAGGCACGAAAGCGUGGGGAUCAAACAGG
rnacentral:rRNA from 1 species